rnacentral:rRNA from 1 species
UGAGGAAUAUUGGUCAAUGGACGCAAGUCUGAACCAGCCAUGCCGCGUGAAGGAUGAAGGCGUUCUGCGUUGUAAACUUCUUUUAUUAGGGAAGAAACCUGAUUUUUCUAAAUCAGCCGACGGUACCUAAGGAAUAAGCACCGGCUAACUCCGUGCCAGCAGCCGCGGUAAUACGGAGGGUGCAAGCGUUAUCCGGAUUUACUGGGUUUAAAGGGUGUGUAGGCGGACUUUUAAGUCCGUGGUGAAAUCUCCGGGCUCAACCCGGAAACUGCCAUGGAUACUAUUGGUCUUGAAUAUUGUUGAGGUGGGCGGAACGGGUCAUGUAGCGGUGAAAUGCAUAGAUAUGACCCGGAACACCGAUUGCGAAGGCAGCCCACUAAGCAAUGAUUGACGCUGAGGCACGAAAAGCGUGGGGAUCAAACAGGAUUAGAUACCCUGGUAGUCCACGCCCUAAACGAAUGAUACUCGACGUUGGCGAUACACUGAUCAGCG